rnacentral:rRNA from 1 species
GAUGAACGCUGGCGGCGUGCCUAAUACAUGCAAGUCGAGCGAACAGACGAGGAGCUUGCUCCUCUGACGUUAGCGGCGGACGGGUGAGUAACACGUGGAUAACCUACCUAUAAGACUGGGAUAACUUCGGGAAACCGGAGCUAAUACCGGAUAAUAUAUUGAACCGCAUGGUUCAAUAGUGAAAGACGGUUUUGCUGUCACUUAUAGAUGGAUCCGCGCCGCAUUAGCUAGUUGGUAAGGUAACGGCUUACCAAGGCGACGAUGCGUAGCCGACCUGAGAGGGUGAUCGGCCACACUGGAACUGAGACACGGUCCAGACUCCUACGGGAGGCAGCAGUAGGGAAUCUUCCGCAAUGGGCGAAAGCUUGACCGAGCAACGCCGCGUGAGUGAUGAAGGUCUUCGGAUCGUAAAACUCUGUUAUUAGGGAAGAACAAAUGUGUAAGUAACUAUGCACGUCUUGACGGUACCUAAUCAGAAAGCCACGGCUAACUACGUG